GAGGAGGAUCAUGUGACAGGAGUGGGUGGAGCUCAGCAGGAGAGUAAUUAUUCUUGCUUAGGGACCUGUUAUGAGGAGCAGCAGGAGGGAAGAAAGCCCUCAGCAAUGUCCACCUCCAGUUCCAGUUUCUGUCUACAUCUAGGAGAAAAGAAUCCAUGUUCUUUCUAUUAUAUUAAGGACUGAGGCAUUCAGAAGUGAGAUAUCUCUGCUUAGUGUUUAACACACAAAAGACCCAAAGCAUAGAGCUUCCUGACACAGG